UGCAGUCGAACGGUGAAGCCCUUCGGGGUGGAUCAGUGGCGAACGGGUGAGUAACACGUGAGCAACCUGCCCCUGGCUCUGGGAUAACCAUCGGAAACGGUGGCUAAUACUGGAUACGACCCACGAUCGCAUGGUGUGUGGGUGGAAAGUUUUUCGGCUGGGGAUGGGCUCGCGGCCUAUCAGCUUGUUGGUGGGGUGAUGGCCUACCAAGGCGACGACGGGUAGCCGGCCUGAGAGGGCGACCGGCCACACUGGGACUGAGACACGGCCCAGACUCCUACGGGAGGCAGCAGUGGGGAAUAUUGCGCAAUGGGCGAAAGCCUGACGCAGCGACGCCGCGUGAGGGAUGACGGCCUUCGGGUUGUAAACCUCUUUCAGCAGGGAAGAAGCGAAAGUGACGGUACCUGCAGAAGAAGCACCGGCUAACUACGUGCCAGCA
rnacentral:rRNA from 1 species